AGCUGCUGAUUCAUAUCCAAAGUUUGUACAGCACAGUGCUGUUUUUGGGACACAUGGCUUUGGUUGUUUUUGUAUUGUAUGCGGAGUCUUGCUAGGGGCCUGACCCGCCCACUCUGAUCCUGGUUGCUGACAGCUCGGCUUAUAUUUCCGUUUGUAUUUUGCAGGAAGGUGGCGGAUUUUGUUUCAGAGGCGGAGAUACUGCAGCGUCUACUGAUUGCCCAUACAUUAAUCGGUUUUCUGGCUUGUGCAUUGAUCCCAAUCAUUAUGCAAUUGUCAUGGAAUUGGCAGAGUAUGGAAAUUUGGAAGACAUGUUGCUGUGUGGAAUGAACAAACAUCCAGUCAUCAAGCAAUGGGACUGCUGCUUUCGGAUGGCACUAGAAAUUGCCGAAGGAAUGAACUAUUUACACAGUCUGCAGCCACCGAUUAUUCAGAGACUUGAAGACAAAGAAUGUAGUAGUGGCUAGCACCUACCACUGUAAAAUCAUUGAUUUUGGGUUACCAAAAUUUCAAGAUUUUUUUAGCAGCAAGAAGCGUUGAAGGAACAGUAGCAUUCACUGCACCCAAGGUAUUUGGUAGAACAGUCGAGAUGAAGGAAACAAAAGUCGAUGUCUAUCUCAUUUGCGCUUGUUCUUUGGCAGCUGAUCGAAAUGAAACAAGUCUAUGGUUGUACAGUAUGUGUUGCUGAUUGGUCUUGGGUGCUUUGUUCUGCUCAACAGAGGAUAGCUGAUACCAAAUGACUGUGUAUAUAGACAUACAGAUGUGGCACAUUGACUUUAGAGUUUUCCUGCGACUACAGCUCGAUUUCAUCGUGUGAGUUUUUCAGACAGAAAUGGAUGUUGUUGACAUUUAUUGUGUUGGUUGUGGUGACUCUUGUCAUGUGAAUAGAGUAC